rnacentral:rRNA from 1 species
GCCGCGUGAGGGAUGACGGCCUUCGGGUUGUAAACCUCUUUCAGCAGGGAAGAAGCGCAAGUGACGGUACCUGCAGAAGAAGCGCCGGCUAACUACGUGCCAGCAGCCGCGGUAAUACGUAGGGCGCAAGCGUUGUCCGGAAUUAUUGGGCGUAAAGAGCUCGUAGGCGGUCUGUCGCGUCUGGUGUGAAAUCCCGAGGCUCAACCUCGGGCUUGCAUCGGGUACGGGCAGACUAGAGUGCGGUAGGGGAGACUGGAAUUCCUGGUGUAGCGGUGGAAUGCGCAGAUAUCAGGAGGAACACCGAUGGCGAAGGCAGGUCUCUGGGCCGCAACUGACGCUGAGGAGCGAAAGCAUGGGGAGCGAACAGGAUUAGAUACCCUGGUAGUCCAUGCCGUAAACGUUGGGCACUAGGUGUGGGGCUCAUUCCACGAGUUCCGUGCCGCAGCUAACGCAUUAAGUGCCCCGCCUGGGGAGUACGGCCGCAAGGCUAAAACUCAAAGGAAUUGACGGGGGCCCGCACAAGCGGCGGAGCAUGCGGAUUAAUUCGAUGCAACGCGAAGAACCUUACCAAGGCUUGACAUGCACCGGAAACACUCAGAGAUGGGUGCCCCGUAAGGUCGGUGCACAGGUGGUGCAUGGUUGUCGUCAGCUCGUGUCGUGAGAUGUUGGGUUAAGUCCCGCAACGAGCGCAACCC